CCGAGAAUAUUCGACAAUGGGCGAAAGCCUGAUCGAGCGACGCCGCGUGCUGGACGAAGUGCUUAGGUACGUAAACAGCUUUUAUCGGGGACGAAAUAAUUGACGGUACCCGAUGAAUAAGGGGCUCCUAACUCUGUGCCAGCAGGAGCGGUAAUACAGAGGCCCCGAGCAUUAUCCGGAAUCACUGGGCGUAAAGGGUGUCCAGGCGGCCUUGUUAGUCGCGUGUAAAAUCCGUGGGCUCAACCUACGGUCCGCACGCGAAACGGCAAGGCUCGAGGGCGCGAGAGGUGCACGGAACUCAUGGUGGAGGGGUGAAAUCCGUUGAUAUCAUGGGGAACACCGAAGGCGAAGGCAGUGCACUGGCGCGUUCCUGACGCUCACACACGAAAGCCAGGGGAGCGAACGGGAUUAGAUACCCCUGUAGUCC
rnacentral:rRNA from 1 species